GUACAAUGCUUGGUUGGAGGUAUGGCCACAAAAGAGUGCCGUUGAUACUGCCGCUGUAAGUACUCAUCCCCAACAUUUGUUAUUUAUUUAUUCAUUUUUUUUAUGAUCGAGCUUUGACGAGGUCCUGAAUCAUUUUUUUAUCAUUCAUGAAACUUCAUGUAGAUGAACACACGAGGUAAAUUACCUCCUAUGCAAUUGAGUUUAAUUGAUUUUACUGUUUGUUACAUUUUACUUACUUCAAUAAUGCCCUCAAAGUUUGUUGAUGUUACGAAAUCAACCCCCACACCUUAUACGUCCAUUUCAAGAUUUACACAAUCCUCCCCUCCACUUCAAAGGUUUCUACAAAUAGGACCCUAAGUCCCAAACUUCAAUUCCAAAAUAAUUCUUAGCUCCCUCCCAAAGAAUUUGUUUACAAAACUAGUCAUAGGUUCCUAAAACAUCAUUUAAAAUGUUCAAAACCUACCCUCCUUGGAAAUCUCUUACAAAAACAAGUCCCAAGUCUCAAACCUGUGUCUAUUUUAUUUAUUUUAACCCCUCUGUAGAGAUUUAUUUGCAAAAUAAAUCCUAAACUCAAACCUAGAAUUUAAAUAAACAAUUUUAGUCCCUUAUUUGGAAAUUAUUAACAACCUUAGUCUAUUUAAUAUAUUUAAAUUCAUGAAUGGAUCCCAUAUAUUGGUUAAAUUUCCAAACAACUCUUCACAUAUUAAUUUAUGUUAAUAUUUCUAGGAAACUAAAUAAAUCUCGACGAUUCGUAUUCACGACAAUAUAUCUCGCUUUUUCUCGCAACAAUUACUCGACAACUACACAUUAAGGUGAGUGUUACCUCAUAGCCAGUUAUCAACUUUGUAGUUUCAUUAUACCUCAUACAUACACAAAAANAAAUACACAAAAAAAUAUCAUUGUUUUGUAUAAAUACUUUACCAGUUUUAGAAAUAAUUGUUUAAACGCUUACAUGUUAAGUAAACAAAAUCGUUUUAAACCUCAAUACUUUUAUAUGUUAUUUUGUUAAGAUAAUACACAUGCAGUUUUGUUUAUCGUUGUAAUUGUGCUAUAUAUUCAGUUUAUCUGUGAUCCAUGAACUUAGUCCCACUCCCGGCGUGUUCCGCCUUGGCCGGGGGUGUGACAGAAUGGUAUCAGAGCUAAAUUGGCUAUAGAGAACUCGUAUCCUCGAAAGAGUAAUACAACUAUAGCAGACUAGCUUCUAAUAAAAGUAUUAUUAAUAAUAACACUAUUUCUCGACUACUUACGCCGUUUGAUGUCCGGCCAUCGUCUGUGCUCGGUAUUCGGGAAGAACAAACAAAAAUUAAUAAUACUACAAACCCCACCAACCAUAAUAUAUAAGAGUUUGUAUAUACUCUGUUUCGCGAUGAGAACACUUAAUAAAAUUUUAACAUCCCUUCAACUAAAACUACCAACUCAACCCUUUAGGUCAGACGCCUCAAUUAGGGUUAGUAUCGUACAUAAGUCAUACCAUAAAUAAACCUGGAAUGCGCACCUAUGUUAUUUAUGGUCAGGCCGGUGCACAACCAACCCUGAGCAAGGAGUCUGACAGACUACAACGGUUGAAUGUUUUAAGAGAUUGAAGGAUGUUCUCCAGAUUCGCUACAGCAACCUAGUACCUUAGAAUCCAUACAUACAUUUUAAAACACUUACAAUUCAUUAGCAAUUAAGGUCCCCUUUCUAUCCUUUAGAAAUCUAGAGGAUUUCUAAACCAAGCACCUUUUCCUUAUCAUUUGGAAAUCUAGAGGAUUUCUAAAUCAAUCCUCUUUCUCUUAUAAUUUAUAGGAUUUCACAAGCAAACUAUAUCAUAAAAUGCAUCCCAUGCAUACUUGUUAGGACUUUAUAGUAUUAACACAACUUAACGUGUCCGUUUUAAACAUAUUAGGAGAUGGCCCCACGAAAGCAACCGGGAGUUCGUCCACCGCCAACUCCCCGAGACAACGCGAGGAGAACCCCACCAGUAACUCAAACAUCAGUGGAAACGCCAAACCAGGGAGGAGACCCAGAAGUAACAAAUGUAAACCAAACAUUCCAAAUGAAUUCUGCCAUGAUGCAGAACAUGCUCGCACAAGGAAUUGCUACGGCUUUGGCAGCAUACGAGGCAGCCCGAAAUGGAAACACUGGAACUAGUGGAAGUGGCACUCCCGCAACUCACCAAAGCAACACCAGACACUGCUCCUAUAAGGAUUUCAUGAGCUGCAAACCUCGACUCUUCUACGACACUGAAGGAGCUGUUGGGCUAUCCCGUUGGAUAGAAAAGACUGAGGCUGUCUUCCACAUCAGUGCUUGCCCCGUUGACUAUAGGGUUAAGUACGCUACAUGCAUGUUAAUGGACUCCGCUUUAACUUGGUGGAAUAACCAUGCGAAGUCCAUGGGAAUCACUGAAGCUUAUGCCAUGGGCUGGGAAUCCCUGAAGCAGCUAAUGACCAAGGAGUAUUGUCCCCGACAGGAGAUACAAGCUCUAGAGCAAGAGCUUUGGAACCUUGUCAUGAAAGGAUCAGAAGUAGCUGCUUACACCUCUCGAUUCAAUGACCUUGCAAACCUUUGCCCAGGAAUGGUGNAAACCUUUGCCAGGAAUGGUGACCCCGGAAGACAGGAAGAUCGAAAGGUACAUUUGGGGACUAGCUUCACCUGUUCAAGGUCUAGUGAUGGCAUCCAAACCCUCCACUUUCGAUAGUGCUAAGCAAUUAGCCUAUCAGUUGACUGAACAGUGUGUCCGGCAGGGUACCAUGACCCCACCGGCAGAGAAGAAGCUCACUGGAGGCACCAAAAGGAAGUUUCAUGGGGAAACAAAGGAGGACUCCAAGCAUCAGAAGCUUGAACCAGAACCGUUAGCUGUCUACGCUGCAGUUACUAAUACUCCCACCCCAACUAAGUCCUACUCUGGGACUUUACCUCAUUGUAUAAAGUGCAAUUUCCACCAUAUCGGAAAUUACAGGGAGGUGAUCUGCAACAAGUGUAACAUGAGAGGUCACAUCUCGAGGUACUGUAGAAGAACCCCAACCACUAUGGCAGAAGGAAUUCAUAACUGUUACGAGUGCAAUCAGCCAGGGCAUUUUAGGAAGGACUGCCCACAACUAAAGAACCAAGGUGGCAAUGGAAGGGUACUUAUGAUCACAGCAAGAGACGCUCUUUCGGAACCACCUGUGGUUAUUGGUACGUUUCAUAACAACAAUGUUUAGGCCUCAGUAUUUAUUAAUACUAGUGCCAAUUAAAGUUUUAUCGACCAUAGGUUUAAAAACGCGACUAAACAUGAAAUCUAUGCAGUAGCUAUAACAAAAAGUACUUGUUGGUUGCCUUAUCACCCAAGUUAAUCAUGCCAUUCACAUAGAAACUAAGUACCCUUGCUGGUAAUCUAUGCUUGCUAAAUUUAUACGUUAGGGUUGUAUAUAAUUAAGAUUCUAUAGACUUAGGAUUUGUGAUUCCGCUUUACUUCCUAUUCCUUGUUUGGUUGUGGGCUUAGAGUAGAAUCACUUAUUCGACUGACUAUUCAAUCUUGGUUAUAUACAACUUAUAUACACCAAGGGAAUGUAGAAGGACCAGCCAAGGAUCAUGCGCCACGUAAGUACAUUACUAUUUAUCGAUAUGGAAAAAGUACUCCCUAGUUGCUUUCUCACCCGAAUUAAUCACAUCAUUCAUAUAGAAACUAAGGACCCUUGCUGGUAAUCUAUGAUUGCUAAGUGUAUAAGUUGGGGUUAUAUAUAAUAAAGAUUCUAAAGACUUAGGAUUUGUGAUUCCACCUUACUUCCUGUUCCUUGUUUGGUUGUGGGCUUAGGGUAGAAUCACUUAUUCGACAGUCUGUUCGAUCUUGAUUAUAUACGACUUGUAUACACCAACCGAUUAUAGAAGGACCAGGCAGGGAUCAUGUACCAUGAGAUUACAUUACUAUUUAUCGAAGCCCUAGUACUACCAGUACCAACUUAAUUUCGGGACAAAAUUUCCUUUAACGGGGAGGUAAUGUGACAACCCAUAAUUUAGGGCUAUUAUUAUAACCGCCAAUCUAUCCGUGAAUCUCAUGUUAAUCCGAAUUAUUGAGUUUUAGUACAUCUAAGGGAAAAUAAAUAAUUUUAUUUCAAUUAUUACAUGAUAUCAGAUCAUACCUUACUUCCAAAUGUGUAAACUGUAAUCCGAAUCAAACCGCUUAAACAGCAACGCUAAUUAAUGCGUUUGAAAAACUAAAAAUUUGCAUUACGUAGUUUUGAGCAAAACAAAAAUUAAAAUAUCAUACUACAUUUUCCUCUCUUUCCACAAAUAUAAAGAACAUCCAAAACGGAGUUCGUAUGCAAAAGAUACGACAAUUUUAAGAAAACAGACAGUAAAACACCGGUUUUCUUUAAUCGCGUAAAACCGAAUCGAUCCGUUGAAGUACUUAAACUUUGCCGAAUGGAUUUCUGAGAGCGUUUUUGGACUCAUAAUAUAGUCUAUUAUUUAAUUUCACACUCGAAAUAAUUUUUACGAAAAUAUUUACAAAAUUCGCGAAAACGGACACCGUGAACCGUUUAGACGUAAAACUUCAAACGCAAUUUCCCAGAGAUCCGUAACUCCAAAAAUUAAUCCGUUUGAUGUUCCAGAAUCCUUGAAUUAAACUCUAUCUAACGGUACAUUCGAAAAGAAUUUUCGAUGCAUGGAUCCCGAGGCACCCAGUUUUGUGUGUUUUGGGCAAUUAAUGAGGGAAUAACCCAUGUGGGGCCCACAUGUGACACAAGAAGGAAAAAAGUCUAGAUUUUCUUCCCUUCUACUUCUUCCCCACGUUCUUCUUUCCUCCCCCUCUCUUCUUCUUUGUGUGCAAGUCUAUCAAAAAUGGUACAAUGCUUGGUUGGAGGUAUGGCCACAAAAGAGUGUGUGUUCCUCUUUUAGUAUAAAUAAGAGCUCUUAGAAGCCAUUAAAGUCACCAAUUCACAGCCACUUCUCUCAAGUUCUCUCCCUCCUUAUUUCUCUCUAUUCCUAUUGAUUUCUUGAUCAUCACCCUUAACCACCACAACCCCGUCAUAAACCACCACCUCUUAUGCCGUUAAUACUGCCGCUGUAAGUACUCAUCCCCAACAUUUGUUAUUUAUUUAUUCAUUUUUUUUUAUGAUCGAGCUUUGACGAGGUCCUGAAUCAUUUUUUUAUCAUUCAUGAAACUUCAUGUAGAUGAACACACGAGGUAAAUUACCUCCUAUGCAAUUGAGUUUAAUUGAUUUUACUGUUUGUUACAUUUUACUUACUUCAAUAAUGACCUCAAAGUUUGUUGAUGUUACGAAAUCAACCCCCACACCUUAUACGUCCAUUUCAAGAUUUACACAAUCCUCCCCUCCACUUCAAAGGUUUCUACAAAUAGGACCCUAAGUCCCAAACUUCAAUUCCAAAAUAAUUCUUAGCUCCCUCCCAAAGAAUUUGUUUACAAAACUAGUCAUAGGUUCCUAAAACAUCAUUUAAAAUGUUCAAAACCUACCCUCCUUGGAAAUCUCUUACAAAAACAAGUCCCAAGUCUCAAACCUGUGUCUAUUUUAUUNUAUUUUCACCUCUCUAGAGAUAUUUAUUUGCAAAAUAAAUCCUAAACUCAAACCUAGAAUUUAAAUAAACAAUUUUAGUCCCUUAUUUGGAAUAUUAACAACCUUAGUCUAUUUAAUAUAUUUAAAUUCGUGAAUGGAUCCUAUACAUUGGUUAAAUUUCCAAACAACUCUUCACAUAUUAAUUUAUGUUAAUAUUUCUAGGAAACUAAAUAAAUCUCGACGAUUCGUAUUCACGACAAUAUAUCUCGCUUUUUCUCGCAACAAUUACUCGNGUUUUUAUGCAAUAUAAUUCACACAAAAAUAUUAUUUAUCACGCUACAACUUACAGUACGUGUACUAAGUAAUAUUUAUCAAAUACACAAAAAAAAUAUCAUUGUUUUGUGUAAAUACUUUACCAGUUUUAGAAAUAAUUGUUUAAAUGCUUACAUGUUAAGUAAACAAAAUCGUUUUAAACCUCAAUACUUUUAUAUGUUAUUUUGUUAAGAUAAUACGAUUAAUAAAACUACCAUAUACGUUUUGACAAAAAUUGUGUUAAAACUGUAUAGCCGGUUAUCAACUUGGUAGUCUAGUUAUACCUCAUACAUACAUAGAAACAUAUAAGUUUAUAUAGUUAUACAAGUAUUGUACUCUUCAAUGUGUACGCUUAUCAAAUAUACUUGUCAAUUACCUGUUUAUCCGUAUCUGUGGUUGUUAAGUUCAACCUUGGCAGAUAACUUCAUCCGUAUAUCCGUAUGUCUGUUUAUGACAAAAAUAUAUAGGUUUAUACGUUUAUACAAGUUAUAGAACUUGUAUCUUAGGCUCAUACAUGUGCUUGUGUACACUAUACUAAGUUUUGUCAACUGUUUAAACAAGUAUCGUACACUUUAUAUGUAUGAUUAUCAAAUAUACUUGUUGUUUAUCCGUAUCUGCGGUUGUUAAGUUCAACCUUGGCAGAUAAUUGUAUCCGUAUAUCCGUAUGUUUGUUUAUCCGUAUCUGCGAUUGUGAAGUACAACCUUGGCAGAAAACUUUAUUCGUUACCCGUACAACCAUGGAUUUGGUUGCUUUCAAACACAAUUUUAAGUAUGGAAUUACUUAUGAAACAUAACGUUUUGGCUUUUAAAGAUUCAUUACAAACACAGUUUUACGUAUGGGUUUACUUAUACAAACUAUACAUUUUGGCUUUUAAAGACUCAUUGCAAACACUGUUUUAACUGUUGUUAUACAUACAAAGAUAAUACUUUUUUAGACUUACUAAAAGUAUUACUGCGUUAGCAGAAAACCUGUGACACUCACCAAACUUUGUGUUGACUUUCAAAAUUACAUGUAUUCUUAGGGGAUCAUUAGCCAGGCGUUCAGACAGAAGAUUAGCUAUGGAUUGCAGACGACCUAGCUAGCUUGUUUUUGAUAUCUGCUUACCUGUUUAAGGCAACUACUGUACUAUUAUUAUCUGUAUGAACCUUGUAUUCAAACUUAAUGAUGAAAUACAAAUGCAGUUUUGUUUA
rnacentral:lncRNA from 1 species